ACAGCAGCCCUCUGGUGACACAGGGGGGCUUUAUCAAGAUGACAGUAUUAGCCCAGCAUGUCUGCAGACCUAUUCACAUUCAGAAAUGAACAACCAAAGAGAAGGAAUAUCCUUUUGAAAUGUUUGCUUCCAAAUCCAAACAGUGCUUGAAAAGAUAACAUUUGUUUCUCUGCAGCACCUGAGGCUUUUUUCUGCUGAACUGACAGAGAAGAGACUGGCUUCUACCCAUACAUAACCUGGCAGGCUCAAAGUGACACACAAGGAUUUCUCUUUAUAGUUUGUAAGUUAUUGUUGCAACACCCUGAUGAGGAAGAAGACAGUGACCAGCCCUCUGAAUUUCAUGGAUUAUCUCCUUUUCUAAUCUAUGGAAAGUGAAAGCACAUAUGAAUAGACCAGAAGAGAACAGGGUGGCCUCGUGCUCUUUUGAAUUUGGCCCUCUGAAUCACCAACUGACAGUGGAUCUCAGAAAAAAAGGAAGAUUUCCUUUUCCUCAAAUUAGAAAGUUUUAACAAUUAAAUCUUGGAUCAAGUUUGAAUUCUGUCAGACAUACAAAUUUUACUGUACAAUCUCCAUCUUCUAAGAACAUAUGAACCCAGAUCAAAAACCUUUGCCACCAACGUCUAAUUCUAUAAAGUGAUCCAGAAAGUUGCAAAGUCGUGUCCGACCCAUCGCGACCCUAUGGAUAACAUUCCUCCUGGCCUUCCUGUCCUCUACCAUCCUCUGGAGUCCAUUUAAGCUCACAUAAAAGCUAUCCAGCAAACCCUAAAUUUGGACAUCUGCUGAAAGGCCUAAGUGCUCUAUCACCAUGUUAGUGCAUUGAUGGUUUACAUACAGUAAGUUUAUAUAGUUAUUAGUCACCAUCAAAGCUGACAGCAGCCAAAUCAUAGAACAACGUAAAGAAGCAGUACAAGAUCAGAAGAUGUGGUGAGACCUGGCCAAAACUCAGACACAACUGAAUGGAUAACAUCAACAGCAGCAUAACAUACAGUUACAAGGACACAAGGCAAACUCUAUUAUUGUUUAGAUUUGCCAGUGAUGGGCAGGGGAAGAAAUACUGCAUUUCAAAAACUUCUUUUUUUCUCAACAACAUAUCCUAAAUGCAGUCCAUUAUUUUAAGUUUAUCAAAUUGUCCAAGUAUAUGAGACUUAAUUCUUACUGAAUAUGCAAGAUAUUGUCAACUAAAUAUACGAACAACAAGACAAUCAGUCUUUUCAUGAAUUGCCAUUCUCUAUCACUCCUACUCUUAGUUCAUCUUUUGCAGAUGCUGUUCUCAUCAAUGGCUCCUUUCUUCUUCCAAAUGGUCAAACAGUGCCAAGUGUAAUUCCCGAAGGAAGCCUACACUUCAAAAAGCAGUAUUCUAGAAAUUAUUUCCGUACUAGACUAAUUUAAAAUAUCCAGAAUUCUGUCUGGAAAAAGAUAAAUUGUAAUUUCAGUGAUAAGUAA